CAAUCCUCUGGUCUCAGCCUCCUGAGUAGCUAAGAUUACAGGCAUGAGCCACCAGCACCUGGCCAGGCUGGAACAUUUUCCUUGGAUUUAGGAGUUGAGGAAAAUCAGAGCAAGAGUUGCUCUGAAGUUUCUGAUUUGAACUACUUGAUAAAUAAUACAAUCAUUUCCUGUGAUAGAAGAGUGGGAGAGACAGAAGAGUUCUGUUUUAUACAUUGUGAAGUUAAGUUGCCUAUGAGAUAUCUGAUUAGAAAUAGUUACUCCAUAGAUUUAUCUGUGCUGUUUGUUGUAGUUCUGUUAUGUUUCAUUUCUCCAGCCUUCACCGGCCCUCCCUCCUCUGUCCAUCUUUCACAUGGCUACAGAGACAUUUAUGAAAAAUGGAAAUGUUAUUUUCCUGUGUAAGACCCUUUAUAAUACAAUAGAUCUAAACUUAAGGAUGUACAUCAUUUUCAUGACUCGACUUUCACUUACUUCCCCCGCCUCACUGCCCACCACUCUGCCUCCCACCACUCUGCCUCUCUGCUCAUACCCUAACAUUAGUCCCACCUGAGAAUGCUCCACAAUGCCUCCUGUUAUUCAUUAGUAAAGCAGCAAAAGCUGAACUAUAUACAGUUCCUGCAGAGUCCCUGUAGGGCCUUAACUACUUGUGCUAGGUCAAUUAGAGGACUAGAAUCAGGUAAGGGAAAAUGGUGGGGUCAUGCUAGGAUGAUUCCACUCCAAAUGGCUAAACUUGUAAAAUAUUGACAUAUAGGGAAACAGCAUUUUUCUGUUUAUACACUUGUUCUCUAUUUACUGAUUAUAUAUUAGCAACAUACUUAAGUAUAUUCAACAUAUUUUUGAAAACUAUUCUAAUUUGAAAACCAUUCCAAAUAUUCUGGGAACUGGACAAUCAAUAAAGGUUUUUUUCCCCUUCUUAUCACAGGAGAUCAUUUAUGUUAGGUUUUUCUAGAAACUUUAUUUUAAUCUCCAUACACUUUUGUGUGUGUAUGUGUGUGUGCACAUGAGCGUGUGUGCCCAUGUGCAUGUGCACAAUGGCAUUUUAAGCUCAAAGUCUAGUGCUUGAUAGGCACAUGCUCUCUAUCACUUGAGCCAUGAACCCAGUCCUUUGCUUAUGGAUAUGGUGCGCUUUCAGAAUUGUUUGAGGGGGGCUGGGGAUAUGGCCUAGUGGCAAGAGUUCUUGCCUCGUA